rnacentral:rRNA from 1 species
UACGUAGGGCGCAAGCGUUAUCCGGAAUUAUUGGGCGUAAAGAGCGCGUAGGCGGUCCGAUAAGUCGGCUGUGAAAGUCAUGGGCUCAACCCAUGAAAGCCGGCCGAUACUGUCGGACUAGAGUCCGGAAGAGGCGAGUGGAAUUCCUGGUGUAGCGGUGAAAUGCGCAGAUAUCAGGAGGAACACCGGUGGCGAAGGCGGGUCUCUGGGCCGAUACUGACGCUGAGGAGCGAAAGCGUGGGGAGCAAACAGG